AAUGAAUUGGCAGAUUUUUAAAUGUGUUAAAUUUAGAAUUUAAUUAAGUGAUUUAAUUCACAUUCAUUA
rnacentral:tRNA from 1 species